ensembl:lncRNA
CCCAGAGUCUCCUCUUCAACGUUGACAUUGAGACUUGUGUUUUGCGGGUCCCUUUUUCAGGACCCUGUCUUUCAAAGAUAAUUUGUAAAAAACUUUACAGAUCUUCAUUGUAAAGGGUUUAAACACGGUUUCCCAUGCUUGUUCAAUGAAUCAUAAACAAUUGAUGAACAUGCACCUGUGGAACGGUCGUUAAGACACUAACAGCUUUCAGAUGGUAGGCAAUUAAGGUCAGUUAUAAAAACUUAGGACGCUAAAGAGGCCUUUCUACUGACUCUGAAAAACACCAAAAGAAAGAUGCCCAGGAUCCCUGCUCAUCUGCUUGAAUAUGCCUUAGGCAUGCUGCAAGGAGGCAUGAGGACUGCAGAUGUGGCCAGGGCAAUAAAUUGCAAUGUCCGUUCUGUGAGACGCCUAAGACAUCGCUACAGGGAGACAGGACGGCAGCUGAUCAUCCUCGCAGUGGCAGACCACGUGUAACAACACCUGCACAGGAUCGGUACAUCCGAACAUCACACCUGCGGGACACUGAGUUAUACCAGGAACACACAAUCCCUCCAUCAGUGCUCAGACUGUCCGCAAUAGGCUGAGAGAGGCUGGACUGAGGGCUUGUAGGCCUGUUGUAAGGCAUCACCGGCUACAACGUCGCCUAUGGGCACAAACCCACCAUCGCUGGACCAGACAGGAAAGUGCUCUUCACUGACGAGUCAUGGUUUUGUCUCACCAGGCGUGAUGGUCGGAUUCGCGUUUAUUGUCAAAGGACUGAUCGUUACACCAAGGUCUGUACUCUGGAGCGAGAUCGAUUUGGAGGUGGAGGGUCUGUCAUGGUCUGGGGGGGUGUAUCACAGCAUCAUCGUACUGAGCUUGUUGUCAUUGCAGGCAAUCUCAACGCUGUGCGUUACAGGGAAGACAUCCUCCUCCCUCAUGUGGUUCCCUUUUAUUUAUUUUACAUUUUAUUUCACCUUUAUUUAACCAGGUAGGCCAGUUGAGAACAAGUUUUCAUUUAUAACUGCGACCUGGCCAAGAUAAAGCAAAGCAGUGCGACAAAAACAACAACACAGAGUUACACAUAAACAAACGUACAGUCAAUAACACAACCCUUCCUGCAGGCUCAUCCUGACGUGACCCUCCAGCAUGACAAUGCCACCAGCCAUACUGCUUGUUCUGUGCGUGACUUCCUGCAAGGCAGGAAUGUCAGUGUUCUGCCAUGGCCAGCAAAGAGUCCGGAUCUCAUUCCCAUUGAGCGCGUCAGGGACCUGUUGGAUCGGAGGGUGAGGGCUAGGGCCAUUCCCCAGAGAAAUGUCUGGGAACUUGCAGGUGCCUUGGUGGAAGAGUGGGGUAACAUCACAUAGCAAGAACUGGCAAAUCUGGUGCAGUCCAUGAGGAGGAGAUGCACUGUAGUACUUAAUGCAGCUGGUGGCCACACCAGAUACUGACUGUUACUUUUGUUUUUGACCCCCCCUUUGUUCAGGGACACAUUAUUCCAUUUCUGUUGGUCACAUGUCUGUGGAACGUGUUCAGUUUAUGUCUCAGUUGUUGAAUCUUAUGUUCAUAGAAAUAUUUACACAUGUUAAGUUUGCUGAAAAUAAACGCAGUUGACAGUGAGAGGAGCUUUCCUUUUUUCUGAGUUUAUUUAAUGAAGCUGCCAGUUGAGGACUUGUGAAGCGUCUGUUUCUCAGACUAGACACUCUAAUGUACUUGUCCUCUUGCUCAGUUGUGCACCGGGGCCCCCCACUCUCCUUUUUAUUCUGGUUAGAGCCAGUUUGCACUGUUCUGUGAAGGGAGUAGUACACUGCGUUGUAUGAGACCUCCAGUUUCUUGGCAAUUUCUCGCAUGGAAUAGCCUUAAUUUCUCAGAACAAGAAUAGACUGAUGAGUUUCAGAAGAAAGGUCUUUGUUUCUGGCCAUUUUGAGCCUGUAAUCGAACCCACAAAUGCUGAUGCUCCAGAUACUCAACUAGUCUAAAGAAGGAUAGUUGUAUUGCUUCUUUAAUCAGAACAACAGUUUUCAGCUGUGCUAACAUAAUUGUGAAAGGGUUUUCUAAUGAUCAAUUAGCCUUUUAAAACGAUAAACUUGGAUUAGCUAACACAAUGUGCCAUUGGAACACAUCAGUGAUGGUUGCUGAUAAUGGGCCUCUGUAUGCCCAUGUAGAUAUUCCAUAAAGAAUCAGCCGUUUCCAGCUACAAUAGUCAUUUACAACAUUAACAAUGUCUACACUGUAUUUCUGUUCAAUUUGAUGUUAUUUUAAUGGACAAACAAAUGUGCUUUUCUUUAAAAAAAACAAGGACAUUUCUCAGUGACCAAAGCUUUUGAACAAUAGUGUACCUGCACCAUAUGACUUGUAAGUAAGCCCUCCAUUCAGAUACACGCAUCACUACAAUGUGGAACUGCAUUGGCACUAAGGUGAAGAACCAAAUAUUGGAGAAUGUCAAACAAGCAGUACAGAAUAGUUGGCAUAUAAACAAAAACAAUAUAUUGUUUACAAUAAAAGUACUGUUUACUGAACACAUCCAAAUAUUGAAUAAUCUGCAAAACAUUAUUAGAAUUGUUUAUUUUAUUUGCAACCAUAAUUAUUAUCAAAAGAAUAUAGUCUAAAUUCACUCAUUGAAAACUUUAUUUUGUACUACUUAUAAAAAAUACCCAGUUUUACAAAAGUAAAUCUAUGCUUACUAGUUGGAGAGAGUCCAUCUCAUAACAGUCAUCAGCUUUAUUCAGUCUUUUCAGUUGUUUUGUGAUUCUAUAGUUCCAUAGAAUGUUCUAGAUUGUUCAAACAGUGAUUCUGAAUUCCAUUUCAGCUGAUCAGGAGCUGAAUUUUUAAUCCAUUCAAAAAAAGCAUGUGGUCCCUUCUCCAAGAGACAGCAUUAGAAUAUCAUUGACAUAGUGCCUUUAUGUACAAAAACAAUGUACAAAUCUAUAUAAAACAAUCUAACGUUAGCCUCUACAUCUCACUAUAUCUGUUGUAAAUAAAUAUUUGGUUGUCUGACUUCAUAAUGUAGGAAAUAGUUGAAUCCACGGUAAAGGCAUGUUAGGUGUUCUUUGACUCUAUCUAGCUACCAGAGAGACAUGCACCUAUGCUGGUGUUUGGAAAGGCCUCACUAGUUGAGUAACCCAAAUGGUACCCUAUUCCCUAUGUAGUGCACUACUUUGGCCAGGGCCCUAUUCCCUAUAUAGUGCACUACUUUAGACCAGAACCCUAUUCCCUAUGUAGUGCACUACUUUAGGCCAGGGCCCUAUUCCCUAUAUAGUACACUACUAUAGACCAGGGCUCGAGCUCUGCUCAAAAGUAAUGCAGUAUAUAUGAAAUAGGGGGCCAUUUUUAGUGGCUCUCAGUGACUUGUGAUGUAAAUACCAGCACAUGCCUAUAAUAGACAAUACCAACGUCUAGUCAGAUGGAUAGCUACCAAGCCUUCAUUGGUUGUCUGUGAUGAGACAGAGGUACAGUGGGAGGAGCCUCUUACAUAUCCUGCCUUGUGAUGUAAAAACACUAUGCUUGGUCACCAUAGACUAUGGUUGUGUCACAAAUGUCAUCAUAUUCCCUUUAUAGUGCACUACAUUUGGCUAGGGCCCAUAGGGCUGUGGUCCAAAGUAGUGCACUACAUUUGGCUAGGGCCCAUAGGAUUGUGGUCCAAAGUAGUGCACUACAUUUGGCUAGGGUCCAUAGGACUGUGGUCCAAAGUAGUGCACUACAUUAGGGAUAGGGCACCAUCUGGGACACAGCUUGUAUAUAAUGUCUGUCAGGCUAGGAGGUGAAGGUGAUCCCAUGAUGUAGUAAUCCUCCUCUCAGAGCCAUCCUCCCCUCCUCUCAGAUCGAGACAGGUCCUCCUCUCAGAGCCAUCCUCCCCUCCUCUCAGAUCGAGACAGGUCCUCCUCUCAGAUCGAGACAGGUCCUCCUCUCAGAUCGUGGCAGGUCCUCCUCUCAGAUCGAGACAGGUCCUCCUCUCAGAUCGUGACAGGUCCUCCUCUCAGAUCGUGACAGGUCCUCCUCUCAGAUCGUGAGACAGGUCCUCCUCUCAGAUCGUGACAGGUCCUCCUCUCAGAUCGUGACAGGUCCUCCUCUCAGAUCGUGACAGGUCCUCCUCUCAGAUCGUGACAGGUCCUCCUCUCAGAUCGUGGGUGCUGUUACACUUGGCGGAUGCAGAAGUAGCAACACAAAUUCAACUACAACACUUAAAUGCAAGAUAUCCACAGGAAAAAAAAACUAGGCUAUAGCCUUAGAAGCAAAUUGCUCAAAUUGCUUGUUUUUUGUUCGUGAUGUUGACCAUUCCUUUCCAAGCCCUGAAUGUAUGAAAUAUAGCUUACUUUCUUUUUUCAACAUUAAAAGAAAGUCCAUCAAUAUGUAUAUUUUAUGGAUCAACAAUCUCAAAUAAACAGAUGUAUGUUAUGCACCUCUACAUCACAACAUCUGGCUUUGGAAUAAAAUCUCUCUCUAUAGCAGCCAAGGCAAUAUGUAUAUAUGUAUACAUGAUGUUCAUAUACAAUAAGUAACAAGAAAAUAGUUAAGGACAUAGACACUGUAACAUAUAGCCAUGUCGUACAGAGAGGAGAGGAGGAAGAGGAGGAAGAGGAAGGUGAAGGAGGAGAGGAGGAGGAGGAGGAUGAGAGGGGGACGUGAAGGUGGGAGGAGGAGGAGGAGAGGGGGAUGUGAAGGUGGGAGGAGGAGGAAGAGGGGGACGUGAAGGUGGGAGGAGGAGGUUCUUAGGUAAUGGUAUAAAACUAUUCAGAACUGGGGUGGAAGGAGUUAGGAUAUAGCAUGUGUCUGACCUCCUCAGUAAGAGGAAAAGUUUCUGCUCAACCCAGUAGAGGCAGUAGUCUACUGAGGUCCUGUGUUAGUCCCACUGAGGCAGUAGUCUACUGAGGUCCUGUGUUAGUCCCACUGAGUCAGUAGUCUACUGAGGUCCUCUGUUAGUCCCACUGAGGCAGUAGUCUACUGAGGUCCUGUGUUAGUUCCACUGAGGCAGUAGUCUACUGAGGUCCUGUGUUAGUUCCACUGAGGCAGUAGUCUACUGAGGUCCUGUGUUAGUCCCACUGAGGCAGUAGUCUACUGAGGUCCUGUGUUAGUCCCACAGAGGCAGUAGUCUACUGAGGUCCUGUGUUAGUCCCACAGAGGCAGUAGUCUACUGAGGUCCUGUGUUAGUCCCACUGAGGCAGUAGUCUACUGAGGUCCUCUGUUAGUUCCACAGAGGCAGUAGUCUACUGAGGUCCUGUGUUAGUUCCACCGAGGCAGUAGUCUACUGAGGUCCUGUGUUAGUCCCACUGAGGCAGUAGUCUACUGAGGUCCUGUGUUAGUCCCACUGAGGCAGUAGUCUACUGAGGUCCUGUGUUAGUUCCACUGAGGCAGUAGUCUACUGAGGUCCUCUGUUAGUUCCACUGAGGCAGUAGUCUACUGAGGUCCUGUGUUAGUCCCACUGAGGCAGUAGUCUACUGAGGUCCUGUGUUAGUCCCACUGAGUCAGUAGUCUACUGAGGUCCUGUGUUAGUCCCACUGAGGCAGUAGUCUACUGAGUGUUAGUCCCACUGAGGCAGUAGUCUACUGAGGUCCUGUGUUAGUCCCACGGAGGCAGUAGUCUACUGAGGUCCUGUGUUAGUCCCACUGAGGCAGUAGUCUACUGAGGUCCUGUGUUAGUCCCACUGAGGCAGUAGUCUACUGAGGUCCUCUGUUAGUCCCACUGAGGCAGUAGUCUACUGAAGUCCUCUGUUAGUUCCACUGAGGCAGUAGUCUACUGAAGUCCUGUGUUAGUUCCACUGAGGCAGUAGUCUACUGAGGUCCUCUGUUAGUCCCACUGAGGCAGUAGUCUACUGAGGUCCUCUGUUAGUCCAGAUCUGUCAAGAAACCCAUCCGGAGUUCCUAAGUCUUUCAAUAAGUUGUUUUGUCCCUCUUUAAGUUACUAGCUCAAUCUGCAAUAGGUCCUGUUUUAUUGUGUUCAAACAGGCAAGAAACCCUGAUGAUGAGGUUGGUGAUGGUGAUGAUGAUGAUGAAGAUGAGACUAGUGAGUUGUUUAUUCUCCAGGGUGCUUCAGCAUUCUCCAGAGUGCUUCAGUAUUCUCCAGAGUGCUUCAGCAUUCUCCAGGGUGCUUCAGUAUUCUCCAGAGUGCUUCAGUAUUCUCCAGAGUGCUUCAGCAUUCUCCAGGGUGCUUCAGUAUUCUCCAGCGUGCUUCAGCAUUCUCCAGGGUGCUUCAGUAUUCUCCAGAGUGCUUCAGCAUUCUCCAGAGUGCUUCAGCAUUAUCCAUGGUGCUUCAGUAUUCUCCAGCGUGCUUCAGCAUUCUCCAGGGUGCUUCAGUAUUCUCCAGAGUGCUUCAGUAUUCUACAGGGUGCUUCAAUAUUCUCCAGAGUGCUUCAGCGUUCUCCAGGGUGCUUCAAUAUUCUCCAGAGUGCUUCAGCGUUCUCCAGGGUGCUUCAGCAUUCUCCAGAGUGCUUCACUAUUCUCCAUAGUGCUUCACUAUUCUCCAGAGUGCUUCACUAUUCUCCAGAGUGCUUCAGCAUUCUACAGGAUGCUUCACUAUUCUCCAGAGUGCUUCACUAUUCUCCAGAGUGCUUCAGCAUUCUCCAGGGUUCUUCAGUAUCCUACAGGGUUCUUCAGUAUCCUACAGAGUGCUUCAGUAUUCUACAGAGUGCUUCAGCAUUCUCCAGGGCGCUUCAGCAUUCUCCAUAGUGCUUCAGCAUUCUCCAGAGUGCUUCAGCGUUCUCCAGGGUGCUUCAGCAUUCUCCAUAGUACUUCAGCAUUCUCCAGGGUGCUUCAGUAUUCUACAGGGUGCUUCAAUAUUCUCCAGAGUGCUUCAGUAUUCUCCAGGGUGCUUCAGUAUUCUCCAGGGUGCUUCAGCAUUCUCCAGGGUUCUUCAGCAUUCUCCAGAGUGCUUCAGCAUUCUCCAGAGUGCUUCAGUAUUCUACAGGGUGCUUCAGUAUUCUACAAGGUGCUUCAGUAUUCUACAGAGUGCUUCAGGCUUCCAAUAGGAGGUCCAACAGUCCUUUCCUGAAAAGGUUAAUCAACCAACCAUCUCAUCUCCAUGUAGAUAGGUGACAGUAAUCACUAGGUGGCUUUGCUGCAGAAAGGUUAUUCUGUGUGUGUGUGUGCUUGUGUCUGCGUGUGUCUGUGGGUGAAGGCUGAAGAAAUGUUGCUUGGCCUCUACGACCCUCCCGAACUUCUACAGACGCACCACUGAGAGUAUCCUGUGAGGCUGAAUCACCGCCUGUUAUGACAACUGCACCGCCCGCAGCCACUUGAGCCACGUCCUGUUCACCCCGCUACCAUCUAGAAGGUAAUUAAGGACCUCAGCCACCAGAGCCACGUCCUGUUCACCCUGCUACCAUCUAGAAGGUCAUUAAGGACCUCAGCCACCUGAGCCACGACCUGUUCACCCAGCUACCAUCUAGAAGGUCAUCAAGGACAUCAGCCACCUGAGCCACGUCCUGUUCACCCCGCUACCAUCUAGAAGGUCAUCAAGGACCUUAGCCACCUGAGCCACGACCUGUUCACCCAGCUACCAUCUAGAAGGUCAUCAAGGACCUCGGCCACCUGAGCCACGACCUGUUCACCAAGCUACCAUCCAGAAGGUCAUUAAGGACCUCAGCCACCUGAGCCAUGGCCUGUUCACCCCGCUACCAUCUAGAAGGCGGAGACAGUACAGGUGCAUCAAAGCCGGCCUCCACCCAGUACCCUGCCCUGAACCGUAUUGACUGUUACUAGCCAGCUACGACUCAGUAGCCUGCCCUGAACGUUAGUGACUGUUACUAGCCAGCUACCACUUAGUACCCUGCCCUGAACCUUAGUCACUGUUACUAGUCAGCUACCACUCAGUACCCUGCCCCGAACCAUAGUCAUUGUCACUAGCCAGCUCCCACUCAGUACCCUGGCCUGAACCUUAAUGACUGUUACUAGCCGGACUCCACACAGUACCUUGCCCUGAACCUUAGUGACUGUUACUAGCCAGCUACCAAUCGGUACCCUGCCCUGAACCUUAGUGACUGUUACUAGCCGGCCUCCACCCAGUACCCUGCCCUGAACCUUAGUGACUGUUACUAGCCAGCUACCACUUAGUACCCUGCCCUGAACCUUAGUGACUGUUACUAGCAAGCUACCAAGCAGUACCCUGCCCUGAACCUUAGUGACUGUUACUAGCCAGCUACCACUUAGUACCCUGCCCUGAACCCUAGUCACUGUUACUAGCCAGCUACCACUCAGUACCCUGCCCUGAACCUUAGUGACUGUUACUAGCCGGACUCCACUCAGUACCCUGCCCUGAACCUUAGUGACUGUUACUAGCCUCCCCAGUACCCUGCCCUGAACCUUAGUGACUGUUACUAGCCUCCCCAGUACCCUGCCCUGAACCUUAGUGACUGUUGCUAGCCUCCCCCAGUACCCUGCCCUGAACCUUAGUGACUGUUACUAGCCUCCCC